rnacentral:rRNA from 1 species
CGGGCGUUAAGUUGCAGGGUAUAGACCCGAAACCCGGUGAUCUAGCCAUGGGCAGGUUGAAGGUUGGGUAACACUAACUGGAGGACCGAACCGACUAAUGUUGAAAAAUUAGCGGAUGACCUGUGGCUGGGGGUGAAAGGCCAAUCAAACCGGGAGAUAGCUGGUUCUCCCCGAAAGCUAUUUAGGUAGCGCCUCGUGAAUUCAUCUCCGGGGGUAGAGCACUGUUUCGGCUAGGGGGCCAUCCCGGCUUACCAACCCGAUGCAAACUGCGAAUACCGGAGAAUGUUAUCACGGGAGACACACGGCGGGUGCUAACGUCCGUCGUGAAGAGGGAAACAACCCAGACCGCCAGCUAAGGUCCCAAAGUCAUGGUUAAGUGGGAAACGAUGUGGGAAGGCCCAGACAGCCAGGAUGUUGGCUUAGAAGCAGCCAUCAUUUAAAGAAAGCGUAAUAGCUCACUGGUCGAGUCGGCCUGCGCGGAAGAUGUAACGGGGCUAAACCAUGCACCGAAGCUGCGGCAGCGAACGUAUCACUUAAAGCGAUUCAGCGGGUUACGAUUGACGGAGCGAAGCGACGUCAAAGCGUAUACAAAGUCGAGUCGGUUUAAGGAUACGUUCGUUGGGUAGGGGAGCGUUCUGUAAGCCUGUGAAGGUGGCCUGUGAGGGUUGCUGGAGGUAUCAGAAGUGCGAAUGCUGACAUAAGUAACGAUAAAGCGGGUGAAAAGCCCGCUCGCCGGAAGACCAAGGGUUCCUGUCCAACGUUAAUCGGGGCAGGGUGAGUCGACCCCUAAGGCGAGGCCGAAAGGCGUAGUCGAUGGGAAACGGGUUAAUAUUCCCGUACUUGGUGUUACUGCGAAGGGGGGACGGAGAAGGCUAUGUUGGCCGGGCGACGGUUGUCCCGGUUUAAGCGUGUAGGUGUGUGUUCCAGGUAAAUCCGGUUCAC